rnacentral:rRNA from 1 species
GGAAGUAAAAGUCGUAACAAGGUUUCCGUAGGUGAUGCUCGUCGUAAAUCAUUAUCUAUUCCAUGAGGUGCGGUCGCGGCCCUCGGCGGGAGCAACAUGCUCGCUGAUACGGUAGAGGUAACACUUUCACGCGCCGCAUUCUGAAUCCUUUUUUUACGAGCACCUUUCGUUCUCCUUCGGCGGGGCAACCUAUGCCUCGUGAUAGUAAUGCUCGUAGUAGAUGCUCGUGAAUUACCUGUUCUGAUACAAACAAUCGUUACAACUUUCAACAAUGGAUCUCUUGGCCCUGGCAUCGAUGAAGAACGCAGCGAAAUGCGAUAAGUACCGUGAUAGUCAGAAUUCAGUGAAUAUCGAAUCUUUGAAUUCUCUCCGCGCCCCUUGGUAUUCCAUGGGGCAUGCCUGUUCGAGCGUCAUCUACAGACCCUCAAGCUCUGCUUGGUGUUGGGCGUCUGUCCCGCCUAUGCUAUGCUCGCUGUAGCAAAUUCAUUGUCAGCGGUCACGCUGAUAGUACGCGCAGCACAUUGCGCUUCUCGAGGUGCGCGGCCCGCGUCCACGAAGCAACAUUACCGUCUUUGACCUCGGAUCAGGUAAUGCUCGCCUGCUGAACUUAAGCAUAUCAAUAAG